rnacentral:ncRNA from 1 species
GAAACCUAUUUGAACGACAGUAGAAGCCUAGUUAAACAACAACAAUAAUUAGAUGUAUAAUGUGUAGAGACAGGCCGUUCUUAGUUGGUGGAGCGAUUUGUCUGGUUAAUUCCGAUAACGAACGAGACUUUAACCUGUUAAAUAGUAGACUGGCCCUCUGUGCUCGUUCAGGGCGCGGCUUCUAUUGCUUCUUUAUGGAGUAGUGUGGUCGUGAUCCGGCGGGUGUGGUGCCAGGGACAAGCGGCACACUUAAGUCACACGAAAUCGAGCAAUAACAGGUCUGUGUGCCCUUAGAUGUCCGGG